CAGCAGCCGCGGGAAUACGAAGGGUGCAAGCGUUAAUCGGAAUUACUGGGCGUAAAGCGCGCGUAGGUGGUUCAUUAAGUUGGAUGUGAAAGCCCUGGGCUCAACCUGGGAACUGCAUCCAAAACUGGUGAGCUAGAGUACGGUAGAGGGUAGUGGAAUUUCCUGUGUAGCGGUGAAAUGCGUAGAUAUAGGAAGGAACACCAGUGGCGAAGGCGACUACCUGGACUGAUACUGACACUGAGGUGCGAAAGCGUGGGGAGCAAACAGGAUUAGAUACCCCAGUAGUCCCUGUCUCUUAUAC
rnacentral:rRNA from 1 species